rnacentral:rRNA from 1 species
GGAUCGCAUGGCCCUUGCGCCGGCGACGGUUCAUUCAAAUUUCUGCCCUAUCAACUUUCGAUGGUAAGGUAUUGGCUUACCAUGGUUUCAACGGGUAACGGGGAAUUAGGGUUCGAUUCCGGAGAGCGAGCCUGAGAAACGGCUAGCACAUCCAAGGAAGGCAGCAGGCGCGCAAAUUACCCAAUCCCGACACGGGGAGGUAGUGACAAUAAAUACUGAUACAGGGCUCUUUUGGGUCUUGUAAUUGGAAUGAGUACAAUUUAAACCUCUUAACGAGGAACAAUUGGAGGGCAAGUCUGGUGCCAGCAGCCGCGGUAAUUCCAGCUCCAAUAGCGUAUAUUAAAGUUGUUGCAGUUAAAAAGCUCGUAGUUGAACCUUGGGUCUGGCUGGCAGGUCCGCCUCACCGCGUGUACUUGUCCGGCCGGGCCUUCCUUCUGGAGAACCUCAUGUCCUUUAUUGGGCGUGUUGGGGACCAGGACUUUUACUUUGAAAAAAUUAGAGUGUUCAAAGCAGGCCUUUGCUCGAAUACGUUAGCAUGGAAUAAUAGAAUAGGACGUGCGAUCCUAUUUUGUUGGUUUCUAGGACCGCCGUAAUGAUUAAUAGGGACAGUCGGGGGCAUCAGUAUUCAAUUGUCAGAGGUGAAAUUCUUGGAUUUAUUGAAGACUAACUACUGCGAAAGCAUUUGCCAAGGAUGUUUUCAUUAAUCAGUGAACGAAAGUUAGGGGAUCGAAGACGAUCAGAUACCGUCGUAGUCUUAACCGUAAACUAUGCCGACUAGAGAUCGGGCGAUGUUCUUUUUAUGACUCGCUCGGCAUCUUACGAGAAAUCAAAG